rnacentral:rRNA from 1 species
CCUACGGGCGGCAGCAGUGGGGAAUAUUGGGCAAUGGGCGCAAGCCUGACCCAGCAACGCCGCGUGAAGGAAGAAGGCUUUCGGGUUGUAAACUUCUUUUCUCAGGGACGAAGACAGUGACGGUACCUGACGAAUAAGCCACGGCUAACUACGUGCCAGCAGCCGCGGUAAUACGUAGGUGGCAAGCGUUAUCCGGAUUUAUUGGGUGGAAAGGGCGUGUAGGCGGGAGCGCAAGUCAGAUGUGAAAACUCAGGGCUCAACCCUGGGCCUGCAUUUGAAACUGUGUUUCUUGAGUGCUGGAGAGGCAAGCGGAAUUCCGUGUGUAGCGGUGAAAUGCGUAGAUAUACGGAGGAACACCAGUGGCGAAGGCGGAUUGCUGGACAGUAACUGACGCUGAGGCGCGAAAGCGUGGGGAGCAAACAGGAUUAGAUACCCUUGUAGUC